rnacentral:lncRNA from 1 species
GCUGCCUGGCUCGCAGCGAGGAUCGUCCCGCCGCUGCUUCGUCCGCUUGCCCUGCCUCGCUCGUGCCGCCGCUUGCGCCGCCCGUGCCAGUCGGAGCCCCGCGACCCCUGAGCCGCCCCGGAGGGUUCAUGCAGCUGCAAUCCCCGCGAGCGCCAUGGCUAGACCAUUGCAGGACCGGAACCUCGUCGAGCCGACAGCCACUGUGUCCCGGAGCCCAACCUUCCCUGUGGGGGGGACGCUGGCCCUGCCGCCCGCCGUCUGCCGCCCGCCGCUCGCCUUGCCACCCGGGCUAAACUGCCUCUAUCGUUGCGGGCGGGCGCUGGAGCCUCCCGGGAGCGUCCGUGUGAGCAUGCAGCCAACAGCAUCCUGCACCCAAGAGGAAGCCCCCAAGGAGCCAGAGCAAAGUGCAGGGGGUCCUAAUGGGCACCUCCCAAGAACCCCACACAACCUGGAGCAGGCCAUCGGGGCUCGGCUUCGCCACAUGGGAGACCGUUUCCAUCAAGACCACGAGCACAGGGAACGCAGGCCUCAAGGUGCCCUCUGGGCCCACUUGUACCAUUUCGUCUUCCAUCUACUGGGUAUCUUGGACAACUUACCUGCCAGGGGGUGACAAACAAGCCUUGGAGUGAAGAGCCAUCUACUGAGCUGCUUUGGGACUUCUCUUCCUGCUGGCCAGGAGAACAGCAGUCUCAGUGGAAGAACAGAUGCCCGCGAACAGCCGGCCUCGAGCCCAUCAUGAUGGGCAAACAAUGCCCUGCUCCAAGUUGCCGAGCGCCAUGGCACCCUUUUGCCCCAGCCCAGCAGUGCCUUAUGGGGAGCUGCACAGAUGGGUGGGGGCGAGACAAGUUAGCACUAUGUGAGUGUGUUUCACUGAACCUGUACAUGCGGGUUGGGGGACAACAGAAUUGCACUUGCCACCUCGACUCGAGGGACAGCCUACAAUGUCCACUGUCAAUAGGGCCUGGACUUGUAUACAGAUAUGUGGGGUGGGGGAGGGGCGGCGAGAGAAAACCUGCACAUUAGUGCAGCUGCUGCUGUGUGUAUAUAGACGGUCUUCAUGCCUGUACAUAGAAUACAAUUGGGUGCUACCUGUACAUACCUGAGGGGCUGGUUGUCCGUAUCUUGUGAAGAGGUGGAAAUUUUUUUGUAUAUUUCCUUUUCAAUAAAACUGGAUCAAAGCAGAA